ensembl:ncRNA lncRNA:CR46455 long non-coding RNA:CR46455
ACCGCCAUUUGGACUCCACUUAACCGCUUAAUUUGCUUAAGUAACAUAAGUAACUUUUAAGAUUAAUAGUAUUGUAUUUUGAAUGGUAAAAGUCCAUCCUAAUCUAUUGAAAAAAUCCGAAGGAACCAAAGUCAUUCAAAGUUGAUUCAAUUCACCCCCACCCUGCGCACUCAGUGCUCAAUUUCUGCUCGCAGCAAGGUCUGCUGAGUAAAAAAUUAGCACAUCCUCAGCGCAGAUAAACGCAUCCUUAAAACACCCCCUGGCCAUCCCACAAGCUAGCCAUCCAUCCAUCCGUUCAUCCUGCAUCCGCAUCCCUUCGCACAGAGAGCGGCCCAAUUAGUGCUGCAGUAGGCAUUUCGAAUCCGUACCCACAAAUCGGCUAAUCCGCUGCCACUGCCUGCCGGCCCAGAGUCCAAAAGUCCUGUGUGCAAUGUCCAGAUUUCCGAGUCGCAGAGUCUAAAUGUUGACAAAUACAACACCUACGAUACAAAUAAAAUUGCUACAGAAGUACCACCUAAAAACGGGCACAACCGGAACGACUUAAUUUUCUCAAAUUUACAGAAACAGACGAUGACAUAGGAAUGGGAAUGGUGAUGGUGAUGGAAACACAGGAAGAUAUCUCGACGCCGCCACUGAAGCUGUGGGUUUGCUCCUGCCGAGCGAAUCCAACGCGAGUAGGGUCCCAUUCGGGGCCCGAGUAGCCAGAGUCCUGCAGCUCACUCGAAACCGCCACUCACCGUGGCUAAUUGCCCAUCAAUAAAGGGCCCGGGCAGUGAGGAAUUCCUCCGAAAGUCGGGUCCUCCGUUCUCCAGCCGAAGAUUUUUUCGAGCAACCAAAAUAUUAUGGUGUGCCCCGCUGUUCUCGCACAGUCAGCGCGAAUUUGCUGCGGUGAGUCGAUGCUGUUUCGCAGGACCUUCUUCCAUUUUCGUCUCCCUCUUGCUCAGCCUGUCCCUGUUCCUCUGCAGUUCCCUAUCUCCUGAUGCCUGUGCUCCUUUGGCGGCACUGUGUCCUGUCGUCGUUGUUUUCCUGUGAUUUGACAUGUCUGUUAGCAGGAUGCCUGACCCUGAGGCCGAGCCCUGGUCUCAGUGUCCACUGUUCCACUUUGAUGUGAUUCGUCAGUGCGGUGGACUACUGCUACUGCUCUCUUGCUGGACUGCGUCUUGAGUCCUGUUCGGCUGCCCCCUCCCGUGACCUCUGACCCUGCACUCUGCGGCUUUCCAGCGGCGUUUGUUGGCGAAUCUGACCCCGAGCUCCUGCUGCUCCUUCGCUCCUUCGCUCCUUCUCCGCAUCUCCGCUCUUUGGACUUCGUACGAAUCAAAAUUGGUCACAGCACCGAGUGAAUUGCCCCGGAGACCGCAAUGCGCUGUAUUUAUAGUAAACGUGUCCGAUUGAUUUGGCCACCCGUGGCGGCUCUGUCACAGAUGCCUCAAUUUGCAUCUAUCGAAUGGUUUACAUGGCUCUAAAAAGGUACCUCGAUGGGUUGGUCACAAUGUGGUGGCCUCUC